CUGUUGGUGGGCAUUUGGCUUGUUUGCAAUUUUUGUGUGUUGUGAAUAAUGCUAAGAACAUUCAUGUAUAAACUCUUGUGCGGACAUAUGCUUUCAAAUGUCUUGGGUGUCUACUUCUUAGCCUUGCAUGGCAUGGCUGUAUCACAUGGUAACUAUGUUUAACCAUUUAAAGAACUGCCAGACUGUUUCCCAAAGUAUCUGUCCUAUUUUACAUUUUCAUUAGCAGUAUAUGAGGAUUUCAGUUUCUCGUCAAUACUUACUAGCUGUCUUUCUAAUGUUAGCUAUUAGGUCUGAAGUGACAUUUCAUUGUGGUUUUGAUUUGUAUUUUCUCAGUGACUAUUCACUUGAUUAAUGGUCAUCUUUUCUUUUUUGGUCCUGUCUGCUUUUAAUUGGCAAGGAGAAAUAGCAGUAUGAAUAAUCUGUCCAGUUCUUAUGUGUAGAGUAGUUUCUGUCUUCUCUGACCCAGUUUAGUCUACUUACGCAUCAGGGAAUGUUUGAUUGAAGUAAUGCUCUUUUUUUUUUUUUCAUACCGGGGAUUGAACUUGGAACCUUGCGCUUUCAAGGGAGGUGCUGGACCCACUGAGCUAAAUCCCCGGCCCUGAAGUAAUGCUCUUUUAAAACACAGUUACAAUUAAGCCAUGACUCAACUGGGUACAUAUAAAAAAGAAUGUUUUGAACAUUCUGGAUUUUGUGUCUUUGUAAAAAGAAAUUAAAUCUUUAAAGAAAUCAGUAAAGGAUGAGGUUUUUAUGAACAUCUGUAAGCAGAAACACAGAUUCUUUCUAAUUCCUUUUGACCUGACUAAAAGCCUGGACAAGAGAGUAUGUAUUUUAUUUUGUUCUUUUUCUUUGUUUUUUCAAAAACUAGACUAUUCUCAAAAAAAUCUUAUUCUCCUAUAUUUUAGAGGUAAACACUUUAGUGUCUUUAUUUCUUACUACUUACUUUUUGAUUAAUCUAAUUGAAAAUCUGACUACAAUAAUAUAUUUUACAUGCAUUAUAUUGUGCACACACACACUUUUUAUUGUUUAAACAUAGUAUACCUUGGUGUAACAUGAUUGUUUCAGAUGUCUGCCUGAAAUAGAAUUUCCUUAAGAGGAUGGCGGAGGCCAAGAUCAGGUAACCACUACUCCUGGCAUUGCAAAGCAUUCUUCCUGAGAUUGAGAUAAGAAGAGAAAUGGAAUAAGCCUCAAUUUUGAGGUUUACGUUCUUGACUACGUAAUGGUGAGAUAAUUUACCUUUUCCUUUGUUUUUAAAAACUUUAUUUUUAUUUUUCAUAGCACUUCCUUGAUUUCUCUUUAAAAUUUUUUUUCUUAGUUAUCACUGCUGAAACUUAACUCCUUUUUUUUUUUAACCAUUUAUCCUGUUUUCAUGUUCCAGUGCUCUUUCCCUCUUUUAAUCAUUUUUUUUUUUUUACCAACAAAUAAUUUGAGCUUAUUAGAUCCGAAAUUCUCUUACCUUUACACUUUGUGUCAGACUUUUUGGUUAAGGAGGAAUCACUCCAUUUUUAGUUUUAUUUAUUUUUUUUUUUUUGGUACCGGGGAUUGAACUCGGGUUCUUGCGCUUGCACAGCAGGCGGCGAAACCACUGAGCUAAAUCCCCGGCCUCCAUGUUUAGUCUUAAUAUCAGGAAAGAAAAAAAUGUAAUCUGAGAGGCUGAGUGUGUAAUUCAGUGGUCGAGCACUUGCCUAGCGUCCAAGAGCCCAGCUUGUGGUAUGUAGUAGGUCCUGUGCCAUAAACAGUACUCUAUGUACAUUUGAUGAUGUUGAUUGAAUACCAAAUGAAAUACCAAAUGAAUAAUGCCUUGAGAGGCUAAAUUCCUUGAGGUUUCUUUGUUCACCAGAAUACACUGCAUUGGUGUUCCAAAUACAGACUCUCAGGGGGGAAAAAAAGCUUGACUGGCUAUCACUGGCAUUUAAAUAGGAUAAAGGAAAUAUUAAAUUGAAUUCUACCCUAUUCCAAAUACAGACUGUCAGAGAUGAAAACAAACUUUUCUUAUGGACUGGAUAUCGAUGGCAUCUAAAUAUAAUGAAUGAUAUAUUAAACUGAGUUCUACACAUACUCCAUUUAGCUAGGUUUUGUGAACUGUGUGGCCUUACAUACAUGAUGUAUUAUCACUAUCUGAGAUCUUAUUUUAGCCAUGUAGAAUGGAGAGAAUUCCACUCUUUCUCUGGCCUUCAGGAUAGACCCAACAUUUGAAAUACAGUAUUAAUUUCAGACACCUAGAUUUUCUAGGUGUGUCUUCAGAUUCCUCUUUAUACAUGUUUUUUUCUGGGAGAGCAGUAAGUAAAUCUACCAAACUCAUUUGACUUUUAGAAGACAUUUAAAACAGAAAGACACUUGGCCAGACUUGAGCUGCAAUGGGAGCAGCAGCUCCAGAUGGAUCAACUUUGAGGGGGCUCAGCUUGGGACGUGUUUGCUGUGGUCUCUGGCUGCAUGGCUGAAUUGGUUGGGACCAUUUAGUAGGCUAGGAGGUCUUACCCUGAACUCACUUGUCUGUGUAGGCUUUCUGAUGGUUUGUACAGCAUUGAACCCUCACCUAGAUCUAAAAUCCACAUGCUGAGGGCAGCUCCAGCCACCUUUCGUGUCAUAUGGUGAGUGUAUUCCUGAGAAGUGGGGUGAAAGCAACAUCCAGGAAUUGUUAAAUUUGUCAUGCAAGGUGAUUAAGUUAAACAGCAAAUCUCUUGUAAAAUAUAAAACAAUUCUUGAUUGCGUUCUCUUCUACUUUCUGGUACAAAUCUGACAACCUGUGGAGUAUACAGAGACGGUGUCUCUCUUCUCCCAUCUCCCAUUUUAAAUAGCAGCCUCAUUGAAAUAUAAUCCAUAUUGGGGCCACUCUGAAGAAAAAGGGUGGAUACCCCCACCCACGAAAAACUUUCUGGAUGCUGAGUAAUGACUCAUAUGCACCCCAAGAGGGCAUGAAAAGGUUUAUUACACACACACACACACACACACACACACACACGCAAGAAUUAAGAUGUUAUUAUGUACAUGUGCCAACUCUCCAGGAAAAAUAUAAUCAUUAUGUACUGCAAACAUAUACUAAUUAGAAAAAAAGGUUUAUUACUCACAAAAUGAGGCUUUCUAGAAAAGAGCAACGCAGCUUCCAAGCAGGUCUUCAGAUAGCUUUCGAGGACAGGAAAAGAAGACUUGCUUGGGGAUUUUGUGGUAGUAUGGGGAGGUGUGAGGAUGAGGGUUCCUACUGAUGGUUUGAAUUUACUGUGGGUUGCCAAAGGAAGGAGACACUUUGACCUUCCUGUCAGCUUUCCCAAAGGUGGGCAGAAGAGAUAUGCUUAAAUGCUGUCAGGAUCAAAUACCAGAAAUGAAGUCAAAGCCAUGAUUACAUUCACAUCAAGUCACUUUGAAUGUAUUCAGUCAGUAGUUUUAUUAGUACAUGUAUUAGAAACACUGUCUAGUUUCUGAACAUUUUCAUUGUCCCCAAAAGCAAUCCUGUCCCCAUUAGCAAUCACCCCAUAUUCCCUGUCCAGAUCUAGAUAAGCAUUAAUCUAUUUUCUAUCUCUAUGGAUCUGUCUGUUCUGGACAUUUCAUUUAAAUGCAGUCUGAGUUCUUUGGUAAUUAGCUUCUUGCACUUAGCAUUAUGGUGUCAGAUUUUUUCAUGUUGCAGCAUGCAUCAGUACUUUGUUUUUAUGGCUGAAUGAUAUUCCAGAUGUGGAUAUGCCAUAUCAGCUUGUCCUAAUAAAGGGCGAUUGAUCUGGAGCAUCUAAGGGAGAGGCAGUGGUGGGAGUUACGUGUCAGUAUCAGCAGGACAGGAAGACAUGGGCCUGGAUCUCAAGAGGGACUCAAAGACAGGCAUCCAAUCUUGGGAGCUGUGUAAAUUAGAGGUGACAUUUAUAGAUGUGAAAGUAAAUGUGAUGUCCAAAUUGAAAUAUAUACUCGUUUAGAGUCUGUACUGUUUGCUAAUAGGCACCAUCCAUCUCUUCAUGCCCUGUGAUGAAAUUCAUGGUAAUUAUCAUUUUAGACCAGUCCAGAUUCAUUCUUUAUUGUUUGUUUUGUUUUGUUGUUUUUGUUUGUUGUUGUUGUUGUUUUGAGACAGGGUAUUGCUAUGUAGUCCAGGCUGGUCUUGAACUCAGUAUGUAGCUGAGGAUGGCCUCAAACUCAUGGCAGUCUUCCUGCCUCAGCCUCCCAAGUGCUGGGAUUAUAAGCAUGCACCACCACGCCCAGUUUCCAGAU
rnacentral:lncRNA from 1 species